CAGCUGCGCAGUGGGCACAGAGCGAACUAUUCUUUCGCCUUUUACUAAAGAAUACCGUGUGCUCGCUGCAAAUAGCAGCAUUGCAAGCAUACUUGUGUAGUAUUAAGCAUGCUC
rfam:Oryza glaberrima chromosome 10 Oglab10_0036_3, whole genome shotgun sequence.